rnacentral:rRNA from 1 species
CUCGUAGGCGGCCAACUAAGUCGGACGUGAAAUCCCUCGGCUUAACCGGGGAACUGCGUCCGAUACUGGAUGGCUGGAGUUUGGGAGAGGGAUGCGGAAUUCCAGGUGUAGCGGUGAAAUGCGUAGAUAUCUGGAGGAACACCGGUGGCGAAGGCGGCAUCCUGGACCAACACUGACGCUGAGGAGCGAAAGCCAGGGGAGCAAACG